rnacentral:rRNA from 1 species
AGCGUGCGUAGGCGGCUUGGUAGGUGAGAUGUGAAAGCCCACGGCUCAACCGUGGAAUUGCGUUUCAAACCCCCAAGCUCGAGGAAGAUAGGGGUGAUGGGAACUUAUGGUGGAGCGGUGAAAUGCGUUGAUAUCAUAGGGAACACCGGUGGCGAAAGCGCAUCACUGGAUCUUUUCUGACGCUGAGGCACGAAAGCUAGGGUAGCGAACGGGAUUAGAUACCCCGGUAGUCCUAGCCGUAAACGAUGAACACUGGGUUGAGGGGACUUCCACAUCCUCUCGGCCGUAGCGAAAGCGUUAAGUGUUCCGCCUGGGGAGUAUGGUCGCAAGGCUGAAACUCAAAGGAUUUGACGGGGGCUC